GGGGUUGUGGCUCAGCCGUUGAGUGCUCGCCUCACACGUGAAAGACCCUGGGUUCGAUCCUCAGCACCGCA
rnacentral:tRNA from 1 species